rnacentral:rRNA from 1 species
UUCCGGUUUGAUCCGGCCGGCAGGUCACUGCUAUUGUGAUUCGACUAAGCCAUGCGAGUCGAGAGGGUUCGGCCCUCGGCUGACGGCUCAGUAACACGUGGAUAAUCUGCCCUUAGGUGGAGGAUAACCUCGGGAAACUGAGAAUAAUACUCCAUAGAUCUAGGAUGCUGGAAUGCACUUAGAUUGAAAGUUCCGACGCCUAAGGAUGAGUCUGCGGACUAUCAGGUAGUAGUCAGGGUAAAGGCCUGACUAGCCUACGACGGAUACGGGUUGUGAGAGCAAUAACCCGGAGACGAUAUCUGAGACACGAUAUCGGGCCCUACGGGGCGCAGCAGGCGCGAAACCUUCACAAUGUGCGAAAGCACGAUGAGGGGAUCCCAAGUGCUUGCUCGUAAGAGUAAGCUGUUUUUAUGUCUAGAAAGCAUAGAGAGUAAGGGCUGGGUAAGACGGGUGCCAGCCGCCGCGGUAAUACCUGCAGCGCAAGUGGUGACCGCUAUUAUUGGGCCUAAAACGUUCGUAGCCGGUUUGGUAAAUGCCUGGGUAAAUCGUGUAGCUUAACUAUACGAAUUCCGGAUAGACUGCCAAACUUGAGACCGGGAGAAGCUAGAGGUACUCCUGGGGUAGAGGUGAAAUUCUGUAAUCCUGGGGGGACCACCAGUGGCGAAGGCGUCUAGCUAGAACGGGUCUGACGGUGAGGAACGAAGCCCUGGGGCGCAAACCGGAUUAGAUACCCGGGUAGUCCAGGGUGUAAACGCUGCUUGCUUGAUGUUAGUUGGGCUCCGAGCCCAACUAGUGUCGGAGAGAAGUU